UGUUAAAGAAUUCAUCCAUUUUUACUAUUAAAAUUUGGUAUGAUUGAUAGAAUAAUUAGAUGUGACAUGCCACAUGUACCUCAUGUUGACGUACAGAGACCACUUUUUAACAAUAGAAAUAAAUAAAUUUUUUAACA
rfam:Gossypium hirsutum cultivar TM-1 unplaced genomic scaffold scaffold699.1, whole genome shotgun sequence